AAGCCAGCCACUGAGUCUCUUACCUGCCAACUGUUUCUGCAGAACUUUAGAGAAAGUUGGCAAUAGUAAAACCAUGUUACGAGCGUUAAAGACCUUGAAGUCAUUAAGGUCACUGAAAAUAGCUAUAAGA